GACGUCGAAUAUCGACGUCAUAAACAUCUAAGUUUAUCGUGUUUAUGACGUCGAAUAUCGACGUCAUAAACACCAAAGUUGAUCGUGUUUAUGACGUCGAAUAUCGACGUC
rnacentral:miRNA from 1 species